UGGGGAAUAUUGCACAAUGGGCGCAAGCCUGAUGCAGCCAUGCCGCGUGUAUGAAGAAGGCCUUCGGGUUGUAAAGUACUUUCAGCGGGGAGGAAGGGAGUAAAGUUAAUACCUUUGCUCAUUGACGUUACCCGCAGAAGAAGCACCGGCUAACUCCGUGCCAGCAGCCGCGGUAAUACGGAGGGUGCAAGCGUUAAUCGGAAUUACUGGGCGUAAAGCGCACGCAGGCGGUUUGUUAAGUCAGAUGUGAAAUCCCCGGGCUCAACCUGGGAACUGCAUCUGAUACUGGCAAGCUUGAGUCUCGUAGAGGGGGGUAGAAUUCCAGGUGUAGCGGUGAAAUGCGUAGAGAUCUGGAGGAAGACCGGUGGCGAAGGCGGCCCCCUGGACGAAGACUGACGCUCAGGUGCGAAAGCGUGGGGAGCAAACAGG
rnacentral:rRNA from 2 species